UACGUAGGGUGCAAGCGUUAUCCGGAAUUAUUGGGCGUAAAGAGCUCGUAGGCGGUUUGUCGCGUCUGCUGUGAAAACUGGGGGCUCAACCCCCAGCCUGCAGUGGGUACGGGCAGACUAGAGUGCGGUAGGGGAGAUUGGAAUUCCUGGUGUAGCGGUGGAAUGCGCAGAUAUCAGGAGGAACACCGAUGGCGAAGGCAGAUCUCUGGGCCAUAACUGACGCUGAGGAGCGAAAGCAUGGGGAGCGAACAGG
rnacentral:rRNA from 1 species